rnacentral:rRNA from 1 species
UACGUAGGGUGCAGGCGUUAAUCGGAAUUACUGGGCGUAAAGCGUGCGCAGGCGGUUUGCUAAGACAGGUGUGAAAUCCCCGGGCUUAACCUGGGAACUGCGCUUGUAACUGGCAAGCUAGAGUGUGGCAGAGGGGGGUGGAAUUCCACGUGUAGCAGUGAAAUGCGUAGAGAUGUGGAGAAACACCGAUGGCGAAGGCAGCCCCCUGGGCUAACACUGACGCUCAUGCACGAAAGCGUGGGGAGCAAACAGG